rnacentral:rRNA from 1 species
GACGAACGCUGGCGGCGUGCUUAACACAUGCAAGUCGAACGGUAAGGCCCUUCGGGGUACACGAGUGGCGAACGGGUGAGUAACACGUGGGUGAUCUGCCCGGCACUUCGGGCUAAGCCUGGGAAACUGGGUCUAAUACCGGAUAGGACCACUGCCUGCAUGGGCGGUGGUGGAAAGCUUUUGCGGUGUGGGAUGGGCCCGCGGCCUAUCAGCUUGUUGGUGGGGGGAUGGCCUACCAAGGCGACGACGGGUAGCGGGCCUGAGAGGGUGACCGGCCACACUGGGACUGAGAUACGGCCCAGACUCCUACGGGAGGCAGCAGUGGGGAAUAUUACACAAUGGGCGCAAGCCUGAUGCAGCGACGCCGCGUGAGGGAUGACGGCCUUCGGGUUGUAAACCUCUUUCAGCACCGACGAAGCGCAAGUGACGGUAGGUGCAGAAGAAGGACCGGCCAACUACGUGCCAGCAGCCGCCGUAA